CGGAUUACAAGUGAAGCACUCAUUUCUUCUCUUGAGGUUAGAUGAAUCCAUGAAUCUCCAGAAGUGAAAGUCAAGAGCACUUAAGGAAAUUUAGAAAGAAUGAAGGUAGAUACGUUUUGAUUGCCUGCUGCCACAGCAGAUGUCAGAGUUGCUGGAGAUGACUGGAGCACUCUGCAGCAGUUCAGUUGCACAAUAUCUUUUUGACCUCUUCAAAAGAGUUGGAAGCUACUCUGAGAUUUUGCUCACUACUUGAACAAUCUUUCAAGGUGCUCUCACAACUUUGGCAAUUCAUUCUCAGCCCUCACAGACAGUACAGCACUGAAGCAGAUUACAUUACUGUGCCAUAGCCUACUUCUCACCAUGGUUUUAUGAAGGAAUCAGCACCGACUAGAUUGGACAGAUUGAUUUGUCAGCCAGAAUCUGAAGAAAGAUAAUAAUUCCCAUUGGGUAAGGAAUCUCUCGAAGACAGCUGAAGAUUAUCACCUUCCAUACUCUUCAAAUGUGACCAUUGUUGACCUCUCUGUGACAUUAGCAUAUGAGUUUUCUAGUGUUUUCUAAGAGUUUUCUACCAUAAAGAGCCAUAUGAGAAGACAACAAUAUAUUCUCGGUAAAAAAAUAAAACGAAAAACUAUUGAAAGGCAGAAAGACAAGUUUACUCCUAGUUGAUAUAUCAGUUAAAUAAAUAUAUUCUUCAGUUACAAUGCCUUCACUUGCUGUUAAGUGAGAAUCAAAAUGCUUUACCAAGUGUGUUCUGUGCUAGCUAACAUUUGACUGAUGGCAGAUAUUUCCAUACCUUCGUGUUUUCAUCUACUGAUUGCUUCUCCUUGGUCUACAUGUUCAUCUUUAUAUCAUCCUGUGAGUUUUCAUGUUUAUAUUCAUAUUCUAUUCGUGUUCUUGCAUCGAACUCUCAGCUUUAGCAACAAACUGUGCGCUCAUAUGUCACUGCUGUACCAGCAGGAGGGUGUACCUGAUGCUCUAUAGAAUAUGUUGAGUAACUAAGUACUAGAUUAUGUAUGUCACAUUAAAAUUAAUACUUCCUUUUUCUGUGGAAACUACAACAGAUACAAAGAGCACUAUAAAACUAUUUGAUAGAGAAAAUUCACACCUACAAAACACUUUUUUUUUUUUUUUAGCAUAGUCACCACAAUUAGUCAUGCAUUUUCAACCAGUGAUGAACAAAAGCCUGUAUGCCAUGCUUGGAGAAAUCUGCGCCAGUGGAGGUGACACACUGUCACUGUUGCCACUGCUGAAACGCACUACCCAGUGCUUCACUGUGCUCACAUCCACUGUUUGGUCUCCAUAAAUGUUCACCAAGUAUUGAUGAAUGACAUUGGGUGCCAUUUUUUUUCAUAUCAAGGAAUUAGAUUCCACACCUUUGUUUCAUACCCACUUCAAUGUCAGACAUCACUUGGUCAGACUGCCCCUUUGCCAUCUGUCAUGCAACAACAAAAUGUAAUGGAAUACUGAUGAGAAGACUGAAACUCUACUGCCAUACCACCAACAUCCACCUCUGAUACUGUGGGCCAAUAUAAUAAAUUAGGAUGUAUUACUUUUGGAGCAACCCUUAUAUAUAAAAAAGCCUCUCUUGUUUCAAAAUUGAAAUAUUUUAAGACUUUUGCUACGCAUUCAGUCAAUCUGUAUGACAAUGAACCCAUUCUGCACACUGAGUUGUCUUGGUGCACUUCCUCAUUCUUGGAUGGUGCACCUCAAAAUUACAUGAUAGCAAAGAUACAAGCCUGGAUCUGGAA
rnacentral:lncRNA from 1 species